UGGCUCAGGAUGAACGCUGGCGGCGUGCCUAAUACAUGCAAGUCGAGCGAACGGACGAGAAGCUUGCUUCUCUGAUGUUAGCGGCGGACGGGUGAGUAACACGUGGAUAACCUACCUAUAAGACUGGGAUAACUUCGGGAAACCGGAGCUAAUACCGGAUAAUAUUUUGAACCGCAUGGUUCAAAAGUGAAAGACGGUCUUGCUGUCACUUAUAGAUGGAUCCGCGCUGCAUUAGCUAGUUGGUAAGGUAACGGCUUACCAAGGCAACGAUGCAUAGCCGACCUGAGAGGGUGAUCGGCCACACUGGAACUGAGACACGGUCCAGACUCCUACGGGAGGCAGCAGUAGGGAAUCUUCCGCAAUGGGCGAAAGCCUGACGGAGCAACGCCGCGUGAGUGAUGAAGGUCUUCGGAUCGUAAAACUCUGUUAUUAGGGAAGAACAUAUGUGUAAGUAACUGUGCACAUCUUGACGGUACCUAAUCAGAAAGCCACGGCUAACUACGUGCCAGCAGCCGCGGUAAUACGUAGGUGGCAAGCGUUAUCCGGAAUUAUUGGGCGUAAAGCGCGCGUAGGCGGUUUUUUAAGUCUGAUGUGAAAGCCCACGGCUCAACCGUGGAGGGUCAUUGGAAACUGGAAAACUUGAGUGCAGAAGAGGAAAGUGGAAUUCCAUGUGUAGCGGUGAAAUGCGCAGAGAUAUGGAGGAACACCAGUGGCGAAGGCGACUUUCUGGUCUGUAACUGACGCUGAUGUGCGAAAGCGUGGGGAUCAAACAGGAUUAGAUACCCUGGUAGU
rnacentral:rRNA from 1 species